UACGUAGGGUGCGAGCGUUAUUCGGAAUUACUGGGCGUAAAGCGUGCGCAGGCGGUCUGUUAAGUCCGAUGUGAAAUCCCCGGGCUUAACCUGGGAACUGCAUUGGUGACUGGCAGGCUUUGAGUGUGGCAGAGGGGGGUGGAAUUCCACGUGUAGCAGUGAAAUGCGUAGAGAUGUGGAGGAAUACCGAUGGCGAAGGCAGCCCCCUGGGCCAACACUGACGCUCAUGCACGAAAGCGUGGGGAGCAAACAGG
rnacentral:rRNA from 1 species